AGCUCUGCUUUAGCUGCUUCCCCUCUGCCGCUCCAGGUGGCCCCAGCCUCCCCCAUCCCCCUGGCUUCAGCUGCUUCCCUUUUCCCCACAGCUGCCUUCUAGACACCCUGAGCACAAACAGCACUCAGAAACACCAUCUAGGGUGAUGUCCAGAGGGCAACCAAAGCCAAGAUCUAUUUUUUGUGUGUUUUCUGUUUGCAAAGAUGGGGUAAAGAGCUUUUUGGGCAUGGGAUGUGCAAUGCCAUGCUUGUGCUGGAGUAAGUGAGGUGGUUUGUAGUAUUCAUCAUGGCCCACUGGUUGUCCUGUCCUGACUGUGUCAUGCCUGGGGACCCCUGAAAACAAGCAGGGGCUGUGGGGUGGGAAUUUUUCUUGUUACUGGCAGUGCUAUAGAUAACAGAGGCAGAUGGGGUUUUACUGAAUGUGUUUGUUUGCUUAUAUCUGUGUAGCCUACUGAAAUGGCUCAAAAACAUUCUCAGCUAAAAGCAUGAGCUGUUCCAUUUUGAGCUUAAAAAGUCAUUUCUGUACCCAGGAGCUGUACUCAUUCUCAGUGGAGUGGGCAUAGUAACACACACUGUGCAGAGGAUUAUACUUAUGUGAUUAUAGCCUCUAGGCAACAACCUGGUGCUUAAGAAAUGACUCAGUCAGAAGGACCAAGGCAGACGGAAUCAGAUUCAGAAACGAUAAGACUUGCUUCCAAAAUACCUGGACUGAAGUAUACAGCAUUCUUUCAAGAUAUGCUUGUCCUAAUAGCCAAUUAAACAGCAUAUGUAGGAAUAUUUUACGUUACUUGGUGGCUCACAGCAGUCUAAAGAAGCAAUAACCACACACAAGGACUUGCAAUAUGACAGGUUAGUUGGGUACAGAAAGGCAGGAAUAGCUGAGAGACGUGAGUGAAAGCCCAGCCAGGCUGGUGAUAGCUGUGUUAGUGCAGGGAGAUCAGCCUAUGCAGAAUAGGAGCAGGUUCCUGGGAAAUACAUCCAGGAAAAGGGAAGAGACAGGAUGAGAAGGUAAGAAAUGCAUGUGGGGAAGCAGUGGCAGGAAGAGAAAAGAACAAAUGAGAACUGGCAAGUUGAUAAAAGAACAAAAGGGCUUUGUCUAAUGACAUUAAAGGCAGCUAACUAACAAAAUAAUUUUCCCAUGUAAGCAAUUACUGCAGCUACCCCAGGGAUAGUAUGAGGUUGAAAAUGGGAAGACGGGUUCUUUACAUUCAUAACUGGGUCUGGCAAGUUUUCCAUCAAUAUGGCUCACGGUGCUGUGGGCCACAUCAGGCAAGCAGAGAAACUGAAACUUGAUUGAGCAGAUAGAUGGAUUCCCUGUUUUUAAAAUUAUCUUCCAUCUGUAUAAAAGGUUAAGCCACCAGCUAGUGGAACAGAAAGAACAGAGGCUUUUAAAAGGUGACAGGAGGUUUGGUUCAUUCCUCUUUCACUCCGGCUGUUGACAGCAGCUUACAGUCAGUGCAGUCACAGUCACACAGGCAUGAGUCAGGUAAAAAUCAGACAAAGACUGAGAUUCCCUUUCAGCCUGAUUUUAAGAAAUGCUGAGCGCAGGCAAUCCCUGUCUGUGUCUGAUAGUGCUUUCCACCCUGUAGAAUCAGCUUUUGGCAACAGGUGUUCUGUUGAGGCUGAGAGAAAUUCAUAACGAGAUGAAUGAUCAUGAUCUGAUCUUAGAUCCUAGACUUUAUUUCGUGAGUGACCAAAUCAUGACACCAAUGAGGUCUCAGUCUCACAGUCCCCUAUUGCCACUGCUCAGCUGACCCUAGCCCUGGGUAUAAAUUUCAGUGUCUUGAGUCUCUCCAUUUACUGGCACAAACCUAUCUCACUGCUUGUCCUGUAAGUGUUUUGACAUCAGCCACUCCAAAAUUAGAAACUGAUCAUAUGGAAAGCUUAAUAACAUUAAAGAAAUGCCAACCCAUUUUCUCUGCUGCCUUGUGCUAUGCUUUGUUCAUCUGAGGAAUUUCUUGCAUUUCACAACCAACAGGAGGAUGUGGGUUCAGGAUUGCUCCCCAGCAGGGAUAUGAUGCAGCUCAAGCCCUAGACUAGGACCCCAUGGCAUUCAGGUUACUCUCUAUAACACCUCCCUGACCUAUCUCCUGUAUGACCUUUGGUCUUCUCCUUUCCAGGCGUUCACUGGCUUUCUUUCACCUUGGGUCUUGCUGAGGCUUGGUCUUAAUUCUUUAGAGUUACAAGCACAUUGGUAACAUCCAGGAUAGGACGUCCCAUGUCUCAGGAAUCGAGGGCCUUUCUUUCUUCUGUCUGGGAGCAUCCGACAAGUGAAGGAGCUGCUCCAGCAGGAAAGAGUAUCCAUGUCCAUCCUGUAGCCCUGACAGCUCAGCCCCGAUUGCUCAUCUGUUUCCAAGUAGAGCUGAGACAUGUUGCUGGUGGGCAGAGAAGUCAGGGACACUACAUCCAGCACCCUGCAGCAGAGGAAGGAUUAGUACUGCUGUUGUUAGCCUUGUUAUUUUCUCCUAAUAAAAAGGUGGUCGUGACUCACUCCAUUAAGAAACA